UUCUCUUGUAUUUUCUUUUUAUUUUGGGUUUGCAAAGUUUGAGGUAAUUUCUGUUUAGUUUUCACAUAUAAUUUUUGAAAUGGGUUUUAGGUUUAAUCUCUGAUAUUAGAUUUUGGGUUUAAUCUCUGAAAUGGGAUCUACAAUAUCAUCUCCUAUAAAUCUCACCAAUUAAAAGCUUCAAGCUCCCACACCCUCUCAACAGAAUUCAUGCCCGUAACACUCUCCUAACAUUUUCCACUUAACCAGUCUUAUUUCCCAAAGCACAAUCUCCUCUUCUUCACUUUCAUCUGCUCUCAGCUGGUACAACUUUCUCCUCCUCCUUCUAUAUAGUUUUAGUCUUAAUUUUGUAAAUAACUUAUCUCUGAACUAUAAUUUGGUUUACCAGAGAGGAACCCAAUAUUACGUGUUGUCAAUUUCAUAUAAUUAUUGCUCGUUUUGAUGAUUUUUGUGUGUUCUUUGCGGUACAAAGUAGUAAACCAAUUUAGCAUAUCAUGUUAAAUUUAUUUUUAGUGGAACCCAUUUCACUGAUUUUAAGAUGAAGACUUCUCUUACUGUUCAAACUGAAUUCAGUGUAUCUAAUGUAAGAAUGGCCUUUGACAGGAGUUGAUUUCAUUUAGAAUGAAUACUUGGAUAGUGUGUUAUAUAUUUCCUCUGAUAAGUUAAAAAAAAGUGACUCCCAUUUAAGUACUUGCUAAUAUUACUUGAAUAAGAAUAUUUUUUUUUAGAAAAAAGGAAAAGCUUUCAUUUCAAACAAACAAAACCAAUACAAAGUUGCACUAGCAGCUACCAAUUACAACCAACCUUUAAUGUGUUUUGAUUAUCAUUUGGUUCAUAACCUUUCACCUGUAAUUGUGGAGUUAAUUUUUUUAUUCUUAAGCUAUGAUAUCUAUUUUUGUAACAAGAAUCUAUCUCUGUGAUUUCUGGCUGAAACUGAUUGCUAAUUGUCCCUUUAGUGUAUACCUGGGUUAACUUGGACUUUGUAGUUCUCUUUGGUAAUUAAUUUGUUUCCUUAUGGCUUGGACUACUUUGCAAUGCCAAUGUUGGUUUAUUUUUAUGAUCUCAUCACUGGAAGGGUAAGAUAAGAGAAAUCCAACAUAUAUUCCCUUAUGUUGUUAUGGGUGUUGUUGAUGUUGUAGAAAAUGCUUGUUUUCUGUGUAAUACGAUGCCUUGUGUACUAAUUAGGAUUUGAGUUGUAAAGGAUUUCCUCUGCUUUCCACCAUAUCUCUUUCUUGGUGUCUAAACAAAUUAAGACUUAAAAAGUCUUCCGUUGAGAUAGCAAAAUAAGAGAGACCAAAAGGGUUUGAAGAGCUAGAAAUGGUUGUUUGGAUGAAUUAAUGGAAAUUCAAAGAGUGAAAGGAUACAAAAAGAUUGAGUGGGUUGAUGAGAUUAGAAUUCUAUAUGGAAAGCUAUUGAUUUGAGUGUUUACAUAAAGAAGAGAGAUAAUAAUGCAAGUAAUUAUUAUUUUUUUUUGAAAAGGAAUAAUGCAAGUAAUUUGAGUGUGUCAAUUAUAAUGAUCUAAAAAAUUGAUAUCAAUACUGAUAAUAAACAAUUAUAGUGUUUUGAGCUCCUAAUAUAUAUAUAUAUAUAUAAUUUUAAUAUUAUAUAGUAUAGGAUAAGUAUUUUUUAUUUUUAGAAUUGUGUAGGAGUUAUAGAUGGGAUCCAUAUUUCUGCUCAUGUCUCCAUUAAUGAAUAAAUACCAUAUCGAAGUCGGAAGGUGGAUACAACUCAAAACGUCAUGUGUAUAUGUUCAUUUGACAUGAAGUUCACAUAUGUUGUUGCUGGAUGGGAAGGAUCGACUAAUGAUGCACGAAUUCUUUCAGAAUGUGCCACAAACCCAGAUUAUGAAUUCCCAGCUCCACCCCAUGUGUUGAGUUUAGCAUUUCAAGAGAUCAAAUUCAUGAAAUGGCUGAUGUUCGUGAUGAAUUGCUGAUCAUAUAUGGAAAACAAAUCGUCGAUGAAGAUAAUUAAUGAGUGAAGCUUAUUAACAAUUAGAACUUUUUUAAUAUUUUUCGUCAAGAUUGGACAAUUAUUAGUUCAUAUUUUAUUACGACUUUGUCAGUUUUGUGUUAUAGAUAAUGAGUUUCGUGAUUUUAAAUUACUUAAUUUUUUUAA